GAUGAACGCUGACAGCAUGCUUAACACAUCAGCAAUUGAUUGGUGGCGGACGGGUGAGUAACGCGUAAAGAACUUGCCUCACAGCUAGGGACAACAUUUAGAAAUGAAUGCUAAUACCUGAUACUGUGAGAGAGCUUUGCGUCCCAUUAGCUAGUUGGAGAGGUAACAGCUCACCAAGGCGAUGAUGGGUAGCCGGCCUGUGAGGGUGAACGGCCACAAGGGGACAGGGAAGAGGCCCUUACUCCUACGUGAGGCAGCAGUGGGGAAUAUUGGACAAUGGACCGAAGUCUGAUCCAGCAAUUCGGUGUGCAAGAUGAAGGUGUCGGAAGGUAAAGUGCUUUCAGUUGGGAAGCGGGACCAACAGAAGAAGUGACGGCUAAAUACGUGCCAGCAGCCGCGGUAAUAC
rnacentral:rRNA from 1 species